rnacentral:misc_RNA from 1 species
CUGAAUUGUCAACAAGGGUUGUUGCUGGCCCCCUGUGUGGGGGUAUGUGCACACUCUGUUUACACAUCCACUCACACCUGUGCACCCUCCGUAGUCCUAUGGCCUGGGGGCCUUGUCCUCCUGCUGUGGUUCUACGUCUUUACACACACACCGAAACAAAGUCUAAUGGAAUGUAUGUCGCGUUUAACGCAAUGAAAUA